AGCGGCGGUUGGGUAGGGUGUGCUCGGGGUUGCGGGCGGGGUCAGUCUUCCCGCGGUGUACCAAGAUGUAGAAAGAAAGCCGCGCCCACGCCACGCCAGGUGCUACUAAGGGACUUUCCAUAUGCAUUCUCAUUUAAUCCUCGCAUCGACUCUUUGUGGAAGGAGUUGGACAGAAUAUUUUCCCCCACCAGAGGAGUCAGCUACCACGUCUCCUCUAUGGAGGUAUUCAAGAACAGUUCAACUGAGAGGGCACAAUUUUCAUGGGGCUUGCAUGGCCUGCCAAAGCACCACAACCAUGGGGUCUGGAUGGGCAACUGCUGGGCUCUCUUCUGAUUCAGGGAAGCAUUUUCAAGAAACUUAUCCUUCUUGGGGAGUGAAGUCUGUGAAGUGGUUUAGCCCAACCCGUUCACCUGCUGUCCUGAUGGCGUAGGAUCAGUUUUCUAUGGCGGCUGCCUUGAACACUGCAUCACUUGGGAAGAAAUAGGUUUUUGCAAUGGGAACAUUAUUUCCUGAUGAUUGUAAGACAUCUGUCCAGUGACAUUAUCCAACUGGAAAAAUAUUUCAAGAAUUGUACUUGUAGCAAUAGUCAAAAUCCCCUCCCUAGCCAUCAAAUGUAAUGUGAGCUUUAUGUCCUCUUGCACCGCCACCCAUUGCAAGGCAGAUCAGAUAAGGAUUCUUUCUAUUGCUUCAUUUCAUUUCCCCUUAAAUGACUUAAGGUUGGUUUCUGUGAUUCCUUCUUACAGAAUGUUGAAUGCACAAUUUCAGGUCCAUUUAGAGAUCAUAAAAGGAACAUUGGCCAAGAUGACACAAUUAACUGGAACCCUAAGGGAGGCUGAAGUAAUGGCCUCCUUUUCAUACUUCGAAGUCCUAACAGAUUGUGUUUCCAAGGUCCAAGGGAUCUACAAGCCUCCUAAAGUCAUUUCCAUUGUCACUAUAUCUAGUGCUAACUAUAAGCUGUCACAUGUAAUCCCAGUAACUGUCAUAAUGCAUGAUAAGGUAAUGAUGUGACAGUAACAUACUUUCCUUUCAAACAGAUUGAGAGGUCUUUAACUGGAGAAAUUGUGAACUGGCUGGUCUACCACGGACCAUUAUAUGAAGUCAGGAAAAUCCACAGAAAGAUCCAGUCUCUCCCAGUAAUCAUUUUACUGGAAAUUGUCAUUUUGCCCAGAGGAUAUUCCUGAUUGUCAUUCUUGACAGUAUAGAUCUUUUCCCCAUGGGCUCCCUUUCUGGUGUUCUUUUCUCAUGUGGUGAUAAUGGGUGGAGCUUGUCUCCCCAAGGGUCCAGUCAGCAUGGGGACACAGAGCAUUGCUUCUGCAUUUCAGAGCCCAAGUGCAGAGUCCAGACCUAAGUUGUAUGCUUUAUAAAAGCAGCCUUAUUGGGGCAUCAUUGGCAUACAAUAAACUAUGCAUAUUUAAAUGGACUCUUCCAUGUGUUGGAAUGUGUUUUUGCCCUUGUAACCAUCACCAUGUGCAUGGUAAUGAGCAUAAUCAUCACUCCUCAAAGUUUCCUCAUGUUGCUUUCAGUCUCUCCCUUCCAAGCUUCAAACACUUAACACAUUGGUUCUAAAAGGAAAGUCAAUAACCUCCAUUACCCUUUUAACAAAAUUGGUAUAAACUUGACCUCCAUACCAGGGACAGAAAUUAUAAAGACAAGUAUAGACCAAUUUUACUUUGGAUCCUAGAUGUGAAAAUCCUCAAUAAAAUACUGGUAUUGAAUUCAUCAGUUAGGCAAACAACAUAUGACCUUAACCUCACCUUAAACUCCUCUUUUUAUUCUCCAAUGUUACAUUUUUCACUAAAUCUUUAUUUCAUUAUUCCAGUUUUUUUUCCUAGUUUCUAACUUUGAUAUUCUGAUUUUAUGCUGACAUUGUGGGCAGACUGUUUUAUCAGAAGUGCCUAGAGGGAAAAUUUGUCCUGGAUGAAGAAAAGAUGCUAGUGGGUGGUGCUCACCCACAUUUCCAAAAUUAAAGGAAUGGAAUCAUGAAGGAAGUAUUAUUCAAUCUCAGUUUUUCUAGAUCCUUCCAUUUGUCCACCCUUGAAUGGGUUUAGAGAAACAGGAGGGCCAAGUGAAACUUCACUUUGUGUCAAAGCUUCUGAAAAUUAAGGCUGCUCUUAAACCUAGAGGAUAGAGCCCAACAAAUAUGGCUUCUGUAAGAAGGCAUUAAUUUUCCAUAUGGCCAUCCAUGCAGCUGUGUCCAACAUGAUUCAUGAUAUUUAGGAGUAAUACAUGACUAAAUGUUAACACCCACUUGUCAGUAUUAAGUGCUGACUUAGCACCCAAAUUAAAUACUGAGGUGAAAAUGGAGGGAAUGCUUUAUUGAAAUCACUAGACCAAGAAGCAUAGGCAUUUUCCUCUUAAAACACUACAAAAUCAAGGGUUUAAUUGUGGUACAAGGGAUAUAAAGCUAUUUGAAGACUAAGAGGACAGCUGUAAUGAGGUUUUGUGGAAUGUGUGACAGUAGCACUUAAGAAAUAAAGCCAGCUUACAAAGUGCUUCCACUGUGGGAUGGGACUGUUGGGAUGGGAUGGGUUGUGGACAUGACAGAUCUAAGCUGCUUUACUGAAACAAAGGGACCUGGUAUGGAUUAAAGGGAAAGUCCAUUAGUCAACCUUUUGUCACUGUAACAAAAUACCUGAGGCAGAUUAUGUACAAAGAAAAGAGGUUUAUUUAACUCAUGAGUCUGGAGGUUUUAAGGGCAUUGUGCCUGCACUGGCUCAGGUAGGGAGAGUCCUUUAACCUGCAUCAAAUUAUGGUGGAUGGUAAUGGUAGAAGCACAUGCAGGCACGGGCAAUUACAUCACCAGAGUUGAGUGGCUUGGGGUUUUGUAACAAUCCUCCGUGGAAACUACCAAGAGGUUGCACUGGAAAUACCUUAUUCCCUUCAAAGGGUAGCACUCCCAAUGACCCAAACCUCCCACAGUGCCCAGCCUUUCUCAAAGUUCUUACCAUCUUGACACCACCACACUGAGGACUGAAACAGACUGAAGUUGGGGACACCUCCAAAAUUGAGAGUGACUUACUUCUACAUGCUGAAAGUAAAGGCUGAGAGGCUGCCUGCUUGGCCUGAUGUGCUCCAAGCAAGCUGAGAGUGGAGAUGGUGCCUGUCUAGCACAGGCUAACUAAAUCUGCAUAUUUUGAUUUUUCUGCCAUUUGUCUUACUUUGCCACCUCUUUUAAAAGCCCUCCUUGCCCUUAGAGGAUCUGAAGGCGAAAUGUUUAAAACAA